rnacentral:rRNA from 1 species
AUUGAACGCUGGCGGCAUGCUUUACACAUGCAAGUCGGACGGCAGCACAGAGGAGCUUGCUUCUUGGGUGGCGAGUGGCGAACGGGUGAGUAACGCAUCGGAACGUACCGAGUAAUGGGGGAUAACUGUCCGAAAGGACAGCUAAUACCGCAUACGCCCUGAGGGGGAAAGGGGGGGAUCUUAGGACCUCGCGUUAUUCGAGCGGCCGAUGUCUGAUUAGCUGGUUGGCGGGGUAAAGGCCCACCAAGGCGACGAUCAGUAGCGGGUCUGAGAGGAUGAUCCGCCACACUGGGACUGAGACACGGCCCAGACUCCUACGGGAGGCAGCAGUGGGGAAUUUUGGACAAUGGGCGCAAGCCUGAUCCAGCCAUGCCGCGUGUCUGAAGAAGGCCUUCGGGUUGUAAAGGACUUUUGUCAGGGAAGAAAAGGGGCAUGUUAAUACCGUGCUCUGAUGACGGUACCUGAAGAAUAAGCACCGGCUAACUACGUG